rnacentral:rRNA from 1 species
AUCGUAGAGUUUGAUCCUGGCUCAGAUUGAACGCUGGCGGCAUGCUUUACACAUGCAAGUCGAACGGCAGCGAGGAGAAGCUUGCUUCUCUGUCGGCGAGUGGCGAACGGGUGAGUAUAGCAUCGGAACGUGCCAAGUAGUGGGGGAUAACCAAACGAAAGUUUGGCUAAUACCGCGUAAGCUCCAAGGAGGAAAGUAGGGGACCUAAAUAAGGCCUUACGCUAUUUGAUCGGCCGAUGUCGGAUUAGCUAGUUGGUGGGGUAAUGGCUCACCAAGGCAAUGAUCCGUAGCGGGUCUGAGAGGACGAUCCGCCACACUGGGACUGAGACACGGCCCAGACUCCUACGGGAGGCAGCAGUGGGGAAUUUUGGACAAUGGGGGAAACCCUGAUCCAGCCAUGCCGCGUGUAUGAAGAAGGCCUUAGGGUUGUAAAGUACUUUUGUUAGGGAAGAAAAGCUAGUUUUUAAUAAAAAUUAGUGAUGACGGUACCUAAAGAAUAAGCACCGGCUAACUACGUGCCAGCAGCCGCGGUAAU